UACGGGAGGCAGCAGUGGGGAAUAUUGCACAAUGGGCGAAAGCCUGAUGCAGCUAUGCCGCGUGUAUGAAGAAGGCCUUAGGGUUGUAAAGUACUUUCAUCGGGGAGGAAAAACAAAACUAAUAAUUUUAUUUCUUGACGUUACCCGAAAAAGAAGCACCGGCUAACUCCGUGCCAGCAGCCGCGGUAAUACGGAGGGUGCUAGCGUUAAUCAGAAUUACUGGGCGUAAAGAGCACGUAGGUGGUUUUUUUAAAGUCAGAUGUGAAAUCCCUGGGCUUAACCUAGGAACUGCAUUUUGAAACUGAAAUACUAGAGUAUCGUAGAGGGAGGUAGAAUUCUAGGUGUAGCGGUGAAAUGCGUAGAUAUCUGGAGGAAUACCUGUGGCGAAAGCGGCCUCCUAAACGAAUACUGACACUGAGGUGCGAAAGCGUGGGGAGCAAACGAGGGAUUAGGAUACCCGU
rnacentral:rRNA from 1 species